UCCGAGGGGGGCAAGCGUUGUUCGGAAUUAUUGGGCGUAAAGGGUGCGUAGGCGGUGCGGUAAGUCUGUUGUGAAAUCUCCGGGCUCAACUCGGAGUCUGCAUCAGAAACUGCCGUGCUGGAGUGUGGGAGAGGUGAGUGGAAUUCCCGGUGUAGCGGUGAAAUGCGUAGAGAUCGGGAGGAACACCUGCGGCGAAAGCGGCUCACUGGACCAUAACUGACGCUGAUGCACGAAAGCUAGGGGAGCAAACAGG
rnacentral:rRNA from 1 species